GUGGAUUAGAUACCCUAGUAGUCCACGCCGUAAACGAUGCUAACUCGUUUUUGGAUUUUCGGAUUCAGAGACCAAGCGAAAGUGAUAAGUUAGCCACCUGGGGAGUACGUCCGCAAGGAUGAAACUCAAAGGAAUUGACGGGGGCCCGCACAAGCGGUGGAUUAUGUGGUUUAAUUCGAUGAUACGCGAGGAACCUUACCAAGACUUAAAUGGGAAUUGACAGAUUUAGAAAUAGAUCCUCCUUCGGGCAAUUUUCAAGGUGCUGCACGGCUGUCGUCAGCU
rnacentral:rRNA from 1 species